UACGAAGGGGGCUAGCGUUGUUCGGAAUCACUGGGCGUAAAGCGUAUGUAGGCGGAUCGUUAAGUCGGGGGUGAAAUCCCGAGGCUCAACCUCGGAACUGCCUUCGAUACUGGCGAUCUUCGAGUCCGGGAGAGGUGAGUGGGACUCCGAGUGUAGAGGUGAAAUUCGUAGAUAUUCGGAAGAACACCAGUGGCGAAGGCGGCUCACUGGCCCGGUACUGACGCUGAUAUACGAAAGCGUGGGGAGCAAACAGG
rnacentral:rRNA from 1 species